rnacentral:tRNA from 1 species
UUCCCUGUAGCUCAGUUGGUAGAGCAUGGUGUGUGCAAUGCCAGGGUUGUGGGUUCGAUUCCACCGGGGGAC